rnacentral:rRNA from 1 species
UUAAAUUGAAGAGUUUGAUCAUGGCUCAGAUUGAACGCUGGCGGCAGGCCUAACACAUGCAAGUCGAACGGUAACAGGAAGCAGCUUGCUGCUUUGCUGACGAGUGGCGGACGGGUGAGUAAUGUCUGGGAAACUGCCUGAUGGAGGGGGAUAACUACUGGAAACGGUAGCUAAUACCGCAUAACGUCGCAAGACCAAAGAGGGGGACCUUAGGGCCUCUUGCCAUCGGAUGUGCCCAGAUGGGAUUAGCUAGUAGGUGGGGUAACGGCUCACCUAGGCGACGAUCCCUAG